GACGAACGCUGGCGGCGUGCUUAACACAUGCAAGUCGUACGGUAAGGCCCUUUCGGGGGUACACGAGUGGCGAACGGGUGAGUAACACGUGAGUAACCUGCCCACAACUUUGGGAUAACGCUAGGAAACUGGUGCUAAUACUGGAUAUGUUCUCCUGCUGCAUGGUGGGGGUUGGAAAGCUCCGGCGGUUGUGGAUGGACUCGCGGCCUAUCAGCUUGUUGGUGGGGUAGUGGCCUACCAAGGCGGCGACGGGUAGCCGGCCUGAGAGGGUGACCGGCCACAUUGGGACUGAGAUACGGCCCAGACUCCUACGGGAGGCAGCAGUGGGGAAUAUUGCACAAUGGGCGCAAGCCUGAUGCAGCAACGCCGCGGGCGGGAUGACGGCCUUCGGGUUGGAAACCGCUUUCAGCAGGGACGAAGCUUUUUGUGACGGUACCUGCAGAAGAAGCACCGGCUAACUACGUG
rnacentral:rRNA from 1 species